GACGAACGCUGGCGGCGUGCUUAACACAUGCAAGUCGAGCGGAAAGGCCCUUUCGGGGGUACUCGAGCGGCGAACGGGUGAGUAACACGUGAGUAAUCUGCCCUUGGCUUUGGGAUAACCACCGGAAACGGUGGCUAAUACCGGAUAUGACGGGCUCCGGCAUCGGGGUUCGUGGAAAGUUUUUUCGGCCAGGGAUGUGCUCGCGGCCUAUCAGCUUGUUGGUGGGGUAAUGGCCUACCAAGGCUUCGACGGGUAGCCGGCCUGAGAGGGUGACCGGCCACACUGGGACUGAGACACGGCCCAGACUCCUACGGGAGGCAGCAGUGGGGAAUAUUGGACAAUGGGCGGAAGCCUGAUCCAGCAACGCCGCGUGAGGGAUGACGGCCUUC
rnacentral:rRNA from 1 species